GCAGCAGUGGGGAAUUUUGCGCAAUGGGGGCAACCCUGACGCAGCGACGCCGCGUGAGUGACGAAGGCCUUCGGGUUGUAAAACUCUGUCUAGGGGGAAGAUAGUGACGGUACCCCUGGAGGAAGCCCCGGCUAACUACGUGCCAGCAGCCGCGGUAAGACGUAGGGGGCGAGCGUUGUCNGGAAUUACUGGGCGUAAAGGGCGUGUAGGCGGCCUGUAAAGUCAGCUGUGAAAUCCCUCGGCUCAACUGAGGGCUUGCAGUUGAAACUANCAGGCUUGAGUGCAGGAGAGGAAGGUGGAAUUCCCAGUGUAGCGGUGAAAUGCGUAGAUNUUGGGAGGAACACCGGUGGCGAAGGCGGCNUCUGGCCUGUAACUGACGCUGAGGCGCGAAAGCUAGGGGAGCAAACAGGAUUAGAUACCCUGGUAGUCCUAGCNGUAAACGNUGGGUACUAGGUGUAGGGGGUUUNGACGCCCUCUGUGCCGUAGUUAA
rnacentral:rRNA from 1 species